rnacentral:lncRNA from 1 species
UGCUCAUUAGAAGUCCAAGUGAUUCCCACCACGCUUUGAGGGAGAGCUCAGAUUCCUUACCCAGAGGCUGAGCAGAGCUCAUCCCCUCCUGGAGAAAAGGAGAUAGCUCACCUUCUCCACACUUAGAAGAGCUGAGUGAAGUUUCAUGACAUUUCCUAGGAAGCCCAACUUAGUGGAACUUUAGAUGUGCCUGGGAACAGUGUCUUCGUGCAAGAUCUCCCCUGCUGAGGAUUCUUGGCGCUGCAGAAGCAGGUAGACCCAGCUGUGCUUAGAAGGCAACAAGAUCUCCAGACAACAGACCCAGUGACAUCUCCAGGUGAUCUGAUCUCCCAUGGUGAAUUCCCAGUGGUGGCAUCUUAAACGGCAUCAGGGAUGUAUCAAAACCUUCAAAAAACAAAGCCAAUGCAGAAAGUUGCUGGAGAUUUGAGGAAGUAUCCUUCCAAUGGUGAUGAAAGGGAGUGGACAGGGUAAGAAGAAGAUGGUGUCAGAAGCAAGCAGCCUGGAGGACUGUCACUUUUCUGUGGCCAGUCUGUUCUCUUCAAACCUAUCUUAUACAUUGGCUUUGGUUCCAGGAGGGCAAAAAAGUAUCAACCAUUCUAUUUGUUGCAGGGUUCUUUUUCUCUCCACAGUCAUUAGCAUAGCUGAACA